UUGGACUCUAUGAUAAAAUCUUGCAUUGUGAGUGCCCUAAUACAUCCUUCGUCUAAAAAAACUAUUGUUGUUGACUUUAAGACAUCUUAUUUGAACAUCCGUCUUAUUUAAAUUUUUUGUUAAAUAUUGUCCAUUUUGAUAUGACUUAUUCGAUUAUUAGAGAUACUAAUAAGAUCUAUUUAUUAUAUAAUUGGCACAAAAAAUUUGAAUAAGACGAGCAGUGAAAUAUGAUAUCUCAAAGUCAAUAACAUCUAUCUUUUUGAGACAGAGGAAGUACAUAGUACGCUAAGUUAAAGAUCGGAGUUUGGAAUUGUUGUAUGUCUGGCCUGAUCCUAUCUGAUAUCUAUCUUGUUUGUGUCUGUUCUAAUCUUGAUUUGAUGACGAGUAAGUGACACAUUCAUCUAGUGUUUUCGAUAAAUUUAGCGAGAAUUGGUGGCAACAACCAAUGAUCAGGGUCAUUGAGCGAUGAUCUUUUAUUCAUCAGAUAAUACUUUGUUGUCAGUGAGAAACUUCACCGCUAGGUUUUGCUACAACUAGCUUCCAACGAUUGUAGGAUGCAUGGAGUAGUAGACUAAAAAACUUGAAUGAGACACUAUAGGGUGUAAUGAGGAUGAAUAUUCCUAUGCCACAUUGGGUAGGAUUUUAGUGGUUAUUGUACACACAUAGAGGCAUCAUUAGAGCACACUUGGGUCCUCAUGUACCCAUAGUGGAAUAGUUUAUAGAAUAGUUUGUUACCUUAAGCUUAUCUGUCGAAUCUGUUAGCCAUUUCGUAGUAUUUUUUUUCUCAUAAUAAAUCAGCUAACAAUACUUUCAGCUAAGUGAACAGGAUUUUUUUUUCUUUUUUCCGCGAUCGGGGGAUAUAGUCCGUUUUUUAUUAAGAGGAGUGAAUUACAAGUCAGCUAUAAGAGAGCCCUCAUAGCUCAGAUUACAAACCACUAAGAUAGUAAUGAGUAAACUGGAAUAAACAAAGGAACCAAAAAAGGUACAUAAGAGAGAGCGACUACCCUCAACACCAAGGACCUACAACUGUGCUUGCAAAAGAACAUCGCAAUGGUCGUCAACACAGAAGACCGUCCAGCAGCAAUGACGGCAAAGCAUCCACCAACGAACCAAACAGCAGCAAAGCAUCCACCAACGAACCAACAGGCGGCCAAGCAUCCGCCGAGUGUUGGCACUUCUUAACGCAACCACCGGAUGUCGGUGAUGGCGCCAGAAAUGCUUGGUGUGGUAACUCUAUUAACUAUUGGAUAAUUCCGCAAGCGCACAGAAGGUACCGCUGUAGCACUUCACCUGGGAGUAUUCCAAGGUAUCGUAAUUUAUAUUUUCCCAAGGGAAAGCAAUAGCUAGAAAUGCUUGUAAGAAAAGAGAUCCUAUCUCAACUUAGUUACAACUAGUGCAGAGAGGUGGUAACGAAAGGUGAAGGAAGGGAUGAUGAUGAUCCAGAGAUAAUCAAAAAGGAUAACUACAAGAUAACUAGAGUAGAGUAGCUAGGUGGGAGGACAACGAGUGAGUACAGGUUCCUAGGAUAUCUAAUUCUACUCUCGUGAACUAAUCUUAAUCAAAUAGCAGAGACACACUAGAUUGAUACCUUACUAAUGGCUGCCAGGGAUAGCCGAGCUGGUAAGACGCUUAAAAGGUUUUUCACCUAACCCCUUACCGAAAGCGACUAUUGGGCUUAUGGACGCCUUAUCUUUUAAGAACUAGCUCGUACGUGAGGAGAACCUAAUGCCGCCCACGAUCUGUCACCUCCUAGGGAGUGCGCCCCUACUUUCCGUCCGAGCCAGCGACACCCAAAGGCAAGACCUAGCCUAAGCACCGCGCUUACGCUAACUCUCACUACUCUAGCUGUGAUCAAACAACUAUAGCACCUUGCUAAAGGCGAUGGGAAACAGCCACGAGCUUGUUACAGGAUCACAAUCUAAUAUGUAACUACUAAAGGACAAGAUAGAACACUACAAUACUAUUGCAAGAAUAAUAUUGCACAAAGUAAUACUUAGAAAAGUAGAAAGAGAAUAUAUUAAGAAAACAAGUCUUACAGGAGAAAAGAUACA
rnacentral:lncRNA from 1 species